CUACGGGUUGCUCCAGUGGGGAAUCUUAGACAAUGGGGGAAACCCUGAUCUAGCCAUGCCGCGUGAGCGACGACGGCCCUAGGGUUGUAAAGCUCUUUCAGCAGGGAAGAUAAUGACGGUACCUGCAGAAGAAGUCCCGGCUAACUCCGUGCCAGCAGCCGCGGUAAUACGGAGGGGACUAGCGUUGUUCGGAAUUACUGGGCGUAAAGCGCGCGUAGGCGGAUUGUUAAGUCGGGGGUGAAAUCCCGGGGCUCAACCCCGGAACUGCCCUCGAUACUGGCAGUCUUGAGUUCGAGAGAGGUGAGUGGAAUUCCGAGUGUAGAGGUGAAAUUCAUAGAUAUUCGGAGGAACACCAGUGGCGAAGGCGGCUCACUGGCUCGAUACUGACGCUGAGGUGCGAAAGCGUGGGGAGCAAACAGGAUUAGAUACCCUAGUAGUC
rnacentral:rRNA from 1 species